rnacentral:rRNA from 1 species
AUGCAGUCGACGGAAACGAUGGAGAGCUUGCUCUUCAGGCGUCGAGUGGCGGACGGGUGAGUAAUACAUAGGAAUCUGCCCAGUAGCGGGGGACAACUUGGGGAAACUCAAGCUAAUACCGCAUACGCCCUACGGGGGAAAGCGGGGGACCUUCGGGCCUCGCACUAUUGGAUGAGCCUAUGUCAGAUUAGCUUGUUGGUGGGGUAAUGGCCUACCAAGGCGACGAUCUGUAGCUGGUCUGAGAGGACGAUCAGCCACACUGGGACUGAGACACGGCCCAGACUCCUACGGGAGGCAGCAGUGGGGAAUAUUGCACAAUGGGCGAAAGCCUGAUGCAGCAAUGCCGCGUGUGUGAAGAAGGCCUGCGGGUUGUAAAGCACUUUCAGUAGGGAGGAAACAGUUCGGGUUAAUAUCCUGUGGCCUUGACGUUACCUACAGAAGAAGCACCGGCUAACUCUGUGCCAGCAGCCGCGGUAAUACG